UGGUGUGGCGCAACUGGUAGCGCAACUGAUUUGUAAUCAGUAGGUUGCAGGUUCGAUUCCUGUCACU
rnacentral:tRNA from 1 species